ensembl:snoRNA SNORD116 Small nucleolar RNA SNORD116
AGAUCAUUGAUGACUUCCAUAUAUCCAUUCCUUGGAAAGCUGAACAACAUGAGUGAAAACUCUACUAAAAAAAGAAAAGAAUUGGGAGGCCG